rnacentral:rRNA from 1 species
ACGGCUCAGUAACACGUGGCUAACCUGCCCUUGGGACAAGGACAACUCCGGGAAACUGGGGCUAAUCCCUGAUAAGUGAGAACUCCUGGAAUGGAUUCUCGCUCAAAGGACGUUUAGACCAUGCUUCUAGGCGUCGCCCAAGGAGGGGGCCGCGACCGAUCAGGUUGUUGGUGAGGUAACGGCUCACCAAGCCUUUAACCGGUACGGGCCGUGAGAGCGGAAGCCCGGAGAUGGGCACUGAGACAAGGGCCCAGGCCCUACGGGGCGCAGCAGUCGCGAAAACUCCGCAAUACACGAAAGUGUGACGGGGCCAUCCCGAGUGCCAUCCGCUGAGGAUGGCUUUUCCCCAGUGUAUAAAGCUGGGGGAAUAAGGAGAGGGCAAGCCUGGUGUCAGCCGCCGCGGUAAUACCAGCUCUCCGAGUGGUGGGGAUGUUUAUUGGGCCUAAAGCAUUCGUAGCCUGCUUGGCAAGUCCUCCGUUAAAUCCAACGAUUCAAUCGUUGGGCUGCGGGGGAUACUGUCCAGCUAGGGGGCGGGAGAGGCCGACGGUAUCCCCGGGGUAGGGGUGAAAUCCUAUAAUCCCGGGAGGACCACCAGUGGCGAAGGCUGUCGGCUAGAACGCGCCCGACGGUGAGGGAUGAAAGCUGGGGGAGCGAACCGGAUUAGAUACCCGGGUAGUCCCAGCCGUAAACGAUGCAGGCUAGGUGUUGGCGCGGCUACGUGCCGCUCCAGUGCCGCAGGGAAGCCGUUAAGCCUGCCGCCUGGGAAGUACGGCCGCAAGGCUGAAACUUAAAGGAAUUGGCGGGGGAGCACCACAAGGGGUGAAGCUUGCGGUUUAAUUGGAGUCAACGCCGGG